GUAGGGAAUCUUCCACAAUGGACGAAAGUCUGAUGGAGCAACGCCGCGUGAGUGAAGAAGGUUUUCGGAUCGUAAAGCUCUGUUGUUGGUGAAGAAGGAUAGAGGCAGUAACUGGUCUUUAUUUGACGGUAAUCAACCAGAAAGUCACGGCUAACUACGUGCCAG
rnacentral:rRNA from 1 species